GAGCGAACAGGAUUAGAUACCCUGGUAGUCCACGCCGUAAACGAUGUUCACUCGCUGUUUGCGAUACACAGCAAGCGGCCAAGCGAAAGCAUUAAGUGAACCACCUGGGGAGUACGAUCGCAAGGUUGAAACUCAAAGGAAUUGACGGGGGCCCGCACAAGCGGAGGAACAUGUGGUUUAAUUCGAUGAUACGCGAGGAACCUUACCUGGGCUUAAAUGUAGAGCGACAGAUUGUGAAAGCAGUCCUUCUUCGGACGAUCUACAAGGUGCUGCAUGGUUGUCGUCAGCUCGUGCCGUGAGGUGUCGGGUUAAGUCCCAUAACGAGCGCAACCCUUAUCGUUAGUUGCCAGCGGGUCAAGCCGGGGACUCUAGCGAGACUGCCACCGUAAGGUGUGAGGAAGGUGGGGAUGACGUCAAAUCAGCACGGCCCUUAUGUCCAGGGCUACACACGUGUUACAAUGGCCGAUACAAAGGGCAGCUACCAGGUGACUGGAUGCUAAUCUCUAAAGUCGGUCUCAGUUCGGAUCGAAGUCUGCAACCCGACUUCGUGAAGCUGGAUUCGCUAGUAAUCGCAUAUCAGCCAUGAUGCGGUGAAUACGUUCCCGGGCCUUGUACACACCGCCCGUCAAACAAUGGAAGCUGGGGGUACCUGAAGUCUGUAACCGCAAGGAGCGGCCUAGGGUAAAACUAGUAACUGGUGUUAAGUCGUAACAAGGUAACCAAG
rnacentral:rRNA from 1 species